AUUGAACGCUGGCGGCAGGCCUAACACAUGCAAGUCGAACGGUAGCACAGAGAGCUUGCUCUCGGGUGACGAGUGGCGGACGGGUGAGUAAUGUCUGGGAAACUGCCUGAUGGAGGGGGAUAACUACUGGAAACGGUAGCUAAUACCGCAUAACGUCGCAAGACCAAAGUGGGGGACCUUCGGGCCUCAUGCCAUCAGAUGUGCCCAGAUGGGAUUAGCUAGUAGGUGGGGUAACGGCUCACCUAGGCGACGAUCCCUAGCUGGGCUGAGAGGGUGACCAGCCACACUGGAACUGAGCCACGGUCCAGACUCCUACGGGAGGCAGCAGUGGGGAAUAUUGCACAAUGUGCGCUAGCCUGAUGCAGCCAUGCGGCAUGUAUGAAGAAGCCCUUCGGGUUGUAAAGUACUUUCCGCGAGGAGGAAGGCGGUGAGGUGAAUACCCAAGAUGAGUGGACGUUACUCGCAGAAUAAGCACCGUCUAACUCUGUGCCAGUCGCCGCGGUAACAC
rnacentral:rRNA from 1 species